UACGGAGGGAGCUAGCGUUGUUCGGAUAUACUGGGCGUAACGCGCACGUAGGCGGCGCCGUAAGUCAGGGGUGAAAUCCCGGAGCUCAACUCCGGAACUGCCCUUGAAACUGCAGUGCUAGAAUCUUGGAGAGGCGAGUGGAAUUCCGAGUGUAGAGGUGAAAUUCGUAGAUAUUCGGAAGAACACCAGUGGCGAAGGCGACUCGCUGGACAAGUAUUGACGCUGAGGUGCGAAAGCGUGGGGAGCAAACAGG
rnacentral:rRNA from 1 species